AACGACUCUCGGCAACGGAUAUCUCGGCUCUCGCAUCGAUGAAGAACGUAGCGAAAUGCGAUACUUGGUGUGAAUUGCAGGAUCCCGCGAACCACCGAGUCUUUGAACGCAAGUUGCGCCCGGAGCCAUUUGGCCGAGGGCACGUCUGCCUGGGCGUCACGCAUCGCUGCCCCCCCCC
rnacentral:rRNA from 1 species